UCUCUGUACCAUACCACCCUCAACCUACUCAAUCUUGUCUGAUCUUAGAAGCUAAGCAGGGUCAGGCCUGGUCAGUACUUGGAAAAGAGACCAUAAUUGUCUCCUUGGCCAAAGCCAGUCAUGUGAC
rnacentral:rRNA from 1 species